rnacentral:lncRNA from 1 species
UUGGAGAAGGUACUAACAGAGUCAAGGCAGCAAUAAGAUCAGCAUUAGUGAUGCUCAAACCAGCAUUGUACUUGAUGAAUUUCCCAGUUGUAGUGUCAAAUGCUACAUCAGCACCAACUGAGAGAGUCUUAGAUCCAACCGCACCAGAAAGGUUAACCACAGGAUUUGCUGUCAAUCCAAUACUCGCAUUAAUCCCAGUAUAAUCAUGCAAGUAUUGAAUCUCAACCUGGAACACAGCAAUAAGUUGAUAUAUAGAACAAUUUAGUUGACAACAAGAACAACUAUCUGAUGACUUCACCAGAACUUUCUGCUUACCUUCCCAGACCUCUGGUCUGGAACAACAAAACUGAAAAUUGUCUUCAACCCUGGGCUGGCAAGUUCGUCAAUGGUAAUUGUUGUUGUAACCUAGCAAAUACCACAAAACAAACUUUGUUGUCACCACCAUCUGUCAGCAGAAAAAAAUCAUAUCUGCAAGAAAAUGGCACAUUCUCUCCUGUCUGUUGUUUCAUUAGUUGAGUUGACAAGAAUACAUCAGGCUCAUUAUUAUAGUAAAAAUGGCAUUUUCAUGAUAAGCCAAAUAAUGUGUUUGAUCAUGAUUGACUUAAUAGCCUCACAAUCUAUUUUGUUUUAUCAUCUCAUAAAAUGUACAGUUGUUAAUAAACCUUGUUACCAUUUAAUCAUUUAUCAUAAAGACUUGACGAGUGAAGUCUACAGGACUUGCCCAUCAAAUCCCUCCCUCAACAAUUCUUUUUAGUGAUCUAGACCUUUCUUUCUUCUGAAAAUCAUUACAUAAAUGUUAAAAAGAACAAUUCUCGUAAACUUAUUUAAAGUUCUCGAUCUAAACCCAACUCCAGACUGUGGAUAGGCUAUGAUUGCCUGCAUUUAAGGAAGAUCCAAACCCUCAUAUUUCUUUAAGAAAUUAAUGUGUUCCAUUUUUAUCAUCAUUGCAUUUUGAAAUACAAAGACUUGAUAUGAAUCUCAACAUUCUUUAAUAGAACACCUAGCUUGAUGAAAGAUAUUGAAUUUCAGAUAAAUUAUUUGAGAAUAAGAAACUACAGAUAUUUGAAAGGAGAAGCAACAAAUGAUGAGAUUAAAAAAAAAGACCAAGAAACAAAAACCUGCUCCUUAAGAGGAACGGUAUAUCAAUAGUUCUCUCUGUAGGUACCUUAAGCAUGUGUUAACAAGCAUGAGAAAUUGUAUGCACCAGGUCAACAUUUCCAAGUACCAUACAAUAAAUAACUAAUGAAUAAUACGAAACUCAUGAAUUUCUGGUAUAAAUUAUAUGUGAAAGAUUUAUGCUUCAAACACUAUAACAUGUUAAAUUUGGAAAAAGACAAUCAAAGAAUGAAAGAAGUGUUACAUUUGAAUCUGAGUUUGUUUUCACAUCAAAGGUGACAUUCUUGUUCUUUAUGUGAGAUUGAAUCUCACCAAAAAUCAAAUCAUUCUUUCUUGUGCCCGAUGCUGUAAUUUCCUGCAGCAGAGAAAAGAUCAAACAAGUGGAAAUUUGUGUAGAGAAACAACAAAGAGAGAAUUAUUCAGUAUAUAGCAUUCAUAUUAAUCUGUAAGUACACAUGUAACUAGAAAAACAAGCUUCAAACAAGAAAAUCACAUUGUAAAAAGUCAAAUGAUGUUUGUCUUUUCUAAAUGUACUGCAUGGACUAGUCAAUAUGCAUAUAGAUCGGCAAUGUGCAUGACCUGAUAAUUAGAGAAACAUGUGAUUAACUUUUUAUCUUGAAAGGUCAUAACCCUGCAACUCUUCUUUUCAAUGCCUUUACUGGUUCCUUGUAGAUUUUUUAGGAGUGAGAUGCUUUUUUAUCUAUCCAAAGCAUGCAGCAUCAAAACCAAGGUCUGUCAUACCGAAGCAUACCGCCUGUACCGAGCGGUACGUACCGGUCCGACAGGUUACCGGUACGCGGACCGCCCGGUACCGCUACAGUGCUACAGUACUAUACUGAAGUACUGCUACAGUAUAAACAAUAUAAAAUUGUUCGGUACAACAGGGUGUACCGCUCGGUACACCGGUACCGUACCGUACCGAGCCCAGGUCGAAACGCCGGUACGGUACGAUACGACGAACCUUGAUCAAAACCAAGCAACACUUUCAAAUGGGAAACAUUUUUCCUUAUUAUUCGAUAGAAAAUUCGUUAUCUAUAAAGCACCAACUUAGUUCAAGGGAAAAAGUACGGUAAAGAAUAUAGCGAAAAGGAGAAAAGAUAGCCAACAGAAUCGAGAAGAAAGAGAUAAAAGAGAGAAAAAGAGGUAAAAGAUAAUAUUUUAUUAAAAAUAAUACUUAAGUUCUAUGUCUUAGGGGAUACACAACUCACCUAUUUAUAAACUCUCAAUCUCAAAUGCAACAUUAGUUGUGAAUUAUCUAGCAAAAUAAAAUCAAUGACCAAUCCUUUCUUUGAGUACAAUCAAAUUAGGAAAAGAAGAUGUGUCAAUUAGGUGUCCAUGCCCCAGCUCUCAUCCAUGACCUUGAUGAGCCCCGGACUUUUAGAAAAACUCUCUUAAGUUCCCGAUAUCCCUAUAUGACUUGAAAUCAAUCCAACCAAAUUUGGGUCGAUUUAAGUGUCUCCAAAUGAAUAAAGGUCACUCUCAACUGGCACAGUCCUAAUCUGACUAAAAUUAAGAGUUAGAUCGAAGGAUUGAAAUAUUGUACCGUACUGAAGUUUCGACAUUCGCUCGGUAUGGUAUGAUACUAUAUACCGAGGGAUAUACAGUUCGAUAUAUAUAUAUAUAUAUAUAUAUAUAUAUAUAUAUAUAUAUAUAUAUAUAUAUAUAUAUAUAUAUAUUGAUAUUUAUUUAUAAAUAUAUAUUUAUAUAUAAAAUUUUUAUAUAUAAAUAUUUUUAUAAAAGGUGACAUCUCGGCAACGUCGCCUUUUAUUUUAUAUAUAUAUAUAUAUAUAUAUACCACCCGGUAACGAGUGGUCCGUGUACCGAUCUACUGACGGAUCGAUAUGUACUGCCCUUAUCGGAUGAUAUUAUUCGAAAUUGAAGACCUUGGUUAAAGCAAACCUAUGUACAAAUGUGAUGAAACUUGAUGGUGUGUUAGCCUAGAUGCUAAUAUAAAACUUCAAGCGGUCUUAGGUUGCUAAGAUGACACUCAGCCCACCCCCCUCUAGGCAGACCACAUGACAAAGCAUCUAAGACUGUUGGGCCCACAUGACAAGGUUUAUUUGGCCCAUCUCUUGGCUCACCUAACGAAGACUUAGGCUGACCUAAUUAGGGCUGAAGUGGAAUCUGUUGGCCCUCCUUUCAUGGGUCACAUGCUAAAAAAGAUGAUUCUUGCUAUAAAUUCAUGUCCUCCAAAUUAAUCUCUGAUAAAUUUUAAAAUUUCAAAAUAGCUAGUAAACUAUUGAGAUAUGUUGUGAUAUACAUAUUCCACUGGUCAUGUAGAUUUGAAAGUGGUGAGUUCUGAGACAAAACUGCUAGACUCUCUUAUUGGAUUAUUGAUGUGCGCUGGCAUGAUCUUCUUGAAUGUCCAAAUGCACUGCAAUAAACUAAAAGUUGGUGUGGACAUCUACAUGUCAAUUGCUUUAGAUCAAAAUUAGUUGCAUGGAUGUUAUUUAAUUAGGAAGCUACACUAAACAUUAAUUGCAUAAUUUCUAUGAUGAAAUUCUGCAAGUCGGCUGAAACUUUUCUAGUCUUAUUUGAAUUAUUUCAUGUUGCUACAAAGCUGAUCAAAGGGUGAUUCUAGAGGUAGGAAUACUAGAGAUGUGCUUUUCAUAUUUAUAAAUUGUUGAAAAAUCACUGGUGAAACGAUAGCUAUCAUAACUAAUCCUCGAUCCUCAUAUCCACCCUUUCCGCAAAGAUAGUGGUUGAAUUCUUCUGUCUUCCUCUUCCUCAUAUGAGGAACGAAGACAGAAGCAACCUGUCACCACUACUAUAAUUAACAAGAAAUUAUUAGUUUCUGUGUUUUUUUCCCACAUAUGAAGUUGAUCUGAAUAGUUCUUGGAAAGUGUGGUUGAAUUGGUAUGGGAAAUCGUUGCAAAUUUCAACCUAAGGCUUGAUUAAUAAUUCUGACCAACUUCUUGGUCAAAUAUAAAAAUGAUAGGCUGCUAUGAAUUCCGUUGGUCACUUGGUACAUUACUUUACAGAAAUAGUCAAAUAUGUCAACCCUAGAUCUCCAAUGCAAUAUGGGCUUGCGGUUGCACAGACUUGGCCAUGAAUAAACCAGACCUCAAACUAAGCUCCUCAUAGUUCAUGUCCAGAGACCAAAGACACGUCAAACAGUAUGUCCAUUAACCAAUAUUUCCAUUUGCAAUUCCUGCAAGUAAAACGGUCUACGCAAAGACCAAUCAGAGGAGGAAAGUCAAUCAAACUUUGAUGGAUCUGCAGCAUACUCAAAUCCCUCUGACCAUAAAUUGUGAUCUCCCAAUAGGAAAAUAAAUGUAAAAAUAAAUGCAAAACAUGAAGUCAUAUGAGUGAUUUCAAGAUCCGUCUCCACGCAAAACUAAAGACUAAAUUGACUGAAACGAUCCGUCCAUUCAUCAGAACCACAGAAAUCAAAGAAGAACUAGCAAACAUUACGUAAAAUCCAUAUAAAACAAAAAGGAGGAGAAAAAUGAUCACUCACGACUCCAUUCGAGGUGCAGGUGGUGACGGUGACCUUGUGGUCCGUCUGGUAAUCCCUAUAAAGGAGUUCUGCAACAGAACCAAAGAUCUCCAUCAAGAAAAGGUCGAAAAAUCACAAAGUAAGAGACAUCGAACAAGACGAAUUUACCUCUGGCCUUCCUGCCGAUCUCGAAGUAGAGACCUGGACCCAUCCUCCCUCGAUCGGGAUCAAAGAGCAGCAGCCGCAACAGAGAGGAAACAGAAUAACAGACGGAGGGAAGGAGAGAGAGAGAGAGAGAGAGAGACGAUGACUCUUAAAUAGCGAAGGCGCGAUUUUUCUUUUUCUUUUUCAAUUAUUUCAAAAGAAAAACCUUCUCGUUCUGAAUUCAAAUUUUGAAAACCAAAAUCAUUCCGCGUUAAUUCUCCAAUCACUCGAACAUAUUUGUAUCAAUAUCCAUCUUAAAUCCAGUUAAUUAUUAUUAUUAAAUCUAAUUUAAAUAGGUGGUAUAUUCAUGAAUAAUCGGAAAGUUUUGAUUUAACUAAUCUGCAAAUUUUGUUAAAUUGGUUCAAGAAUUUAAUUAACUGUUGCUUCCGUGAUUCGGAUGCUUACUAAUACCUGAAAGGACGAAAAAAAUUGAACGGCUGAUCUGUUCGGCGUACAGAGAUGUACACCGUCUGAUCUCCUUUUUUCAACAUAUAGACGAAGUAUUUCACACACACACACACACACAUAUAUAUAUAUAUAUAUAUAUAUAUAUAUAUAUAUAUAUAUAUAUAUAUAUAACUUUUAAAAUUAAUUUUUUUAAAAAAAUUAUAACUUUGAAAAAUUCUCAAAGAAUGUUCUAAUUUUCAAAAAUUCCUAUAGAACGCUCCUAAGUUUCAAAAAUUGUUGAUGACUUGUGAGGCAGAGCCUCCACCCGUCGACCCAGUUCGACCUCCUCGGCGCCUUUUGCUGCUUCUACAUCGAGAACCGGACAGAUAAUCUCUGACAUCACUCAUUCGUCCGAUGAUAUGCCACAUCAUUAAUAACUCGCAUUCCAAUAUGAAGUAUGAAGUUCUGAAACACGAUCGAUAAGAUCAAGACAGCAACACGCUGGUAAUGAACGAAUACAGUUGAUUUCAUGGCAUUUGUAACCCAAAUGAGCUGCCAAACUUUUACAGACAGGUUAUUGGGUGAAAACAGUAGGAAGUAGAACGCUGCUAAUAUCAUAAUUCUCCAAUGUCUUCUUCAGAAAAAAAAAAAGGACCAGUGUUGCUUAUUGAUUAGUCAACUCCACUGCAAUUUACCAUGUUUUUGCCUGCACCACAGAGAACAAUGUCACUUCCUAUCUUCUCAAGUAUCAGAAUGACUAUAAGAACUGAAAUUUGUAUUAUCAAUGUGGCAGAUGAUGGCUGUAUCAACCAUAGACCAAAAGGAAAAAAGAAACUUGCAUUGUCAAAUGGUGUCGAAGUGAUGUUGCAGUUCUCAAUGAACAAGUGUGAAACAUUAAGUUGAAAGGGUAGUUAUGAUGAAAAACCUAUAACUUAAAUUCACACAAACCAAUGACAAAUGAUAGAAAAAAUUCGACUGCAGUUACUGUGACAACCAAGUAGUUGAUGUUGGCAGCCUACGGAUCUUCACCAUGGUCCAUUCCCUAGAAAAUCAGUAGCAUAAACCUAUUGUAAGAUGUAUAACUUCGGUGUCAUUUUUUUGGGUCCGACACAAAAUAAUUAAAUCUAUUUUUAAAUGCACAUAAAAAUGAACAUAUGAUUCCUUUAUUUUAAAAAUGCACAUAAAAACAGCAUCAUUUUACAAAGAGCAAAAUAAAGCAAUAUUUGGCUGGAGAUAAAAUUGUCACUUUAAUUCAAAACAUAUGAUUCCUUCAUUCUUGUUUGGUCCAAAUCAGGGUCAAUUUUCAACAGGCAGCUCCUAGAUUCAUGAGUUGACACACAAAUGAGAGAUAAUUUAAAUUUCACAGUAUCCUCUCUCUCUCUCUCUCUCUCUCUCUCUCUCUCUCUCUCUCUCUCUCAUCUCUAAAUUUGCAGUUGUUGGUAUAUAUCAGUGUUUCCCAAAGGACUUACAUUCAUCAUGUGGAUGAUUAAAAAAUCUGCUAAAAGUUAGAUUGUUUCAUAUGCAAAUGCUUCUUAAGGUUCCUUUUACCCAAUUGGAUAGAAAGAGAAGGCUUGCAUGGAGUAUGACUAUUUCAUAUCCAUAGUCUUCUUGACUUAAGGUUUUUUUUACCGGAUCGGAUAAAAUAGAUGACUUGCAUGAAGAAUGACUACUUGACACAUGCUACACAGCCAAUGCUUGAUGAAGGAGAUCAUAGACAAAUUGGCACUUAAAGGAAAAUAAGUCAUCCUUGCAAUUAAUAUAUAUUUUUAUUUUCACAACCACCUUGGAGCACAAAAAGAUAGCACAGAAACAUCAUUAUAUCCUGAAUUUCCAUUAACACCUCAAACAUCAUUAAUGUCAAUAACUAUAAUGAACUCCUAUUUCGAAAGAAAAAUAAUAUUCAACUGAUGGUGUUUAUUAAAGCAGUGAUUUGAUAAACUACUUGUACAUUUUGUUCAAGUUCUGCCUAUUAUAACAUGAGCUAAGUAUGCGGAAAACAUUCUUGUUAAGAAGGAAAAAAAUCUAUGAUAAAAUUGUCAUUUAAUGUUUUCAGAGUCUGAACAGAACUUGCAAUCAGUAUCAAUUUUCAAGAAAAUACAUCCUUUAAUUUAUUUUUCAUAUAAAAGAAAUAAUGUACCUAAAACUCAAAAGUCCCAGAACCUUGUUCUAUAUCAUUUCAGUUAACCAUUUGCACUAUGUCAUAACACCAUCAAAGUUUUAAGGUCACCAAGGGACAUAAGAGAAUCAUGUCAUCAUAAAACUGGGUGACCUACUGCAUAAGACUCUCGCCAAUAUAGGGUCUGACAAGGUUUAGUAUAUAAGUCUUACUUCUGCAAAAUAAGCAGAUAGUUUAUACUACUUGAACACUGGGCACCUAGAUCAUAAGGAGGCAACCGCAUUAGGAUAACAGGACCCACCAUCAAAAUUGUGUCCCUGUGAGCAACCAAAAUUAUGCUUUACAGAUGAAGUAUAAUUUUUAAGUAUUAAGAUUUGACAUCCUGAUUAUCCUUAGUCGUAGUCCAAAUCUAGUUCUAGAGGGCAACAUAAGAUUUAUAUGAAAGUUGUUAGCUUUGUGUUUUGAUCACAUGAGCAAACAUGCUACAAAUUUGUCAGGGUCAAGAGGCAAAUAUUUAAAUAUCCAAAGAAUCAAGGAAGCUAAAAGUAUCAUGAGCAAGUGUUAUUACAAGCAUAUGCAUAUUGAAGUUACGCCUUUCAUGAAAAUAUGAUAGGCUCACAUUCUUACUACUUUGACAUACCUGUAACAUAUCCAUGUCAAUAACUAUGUACUACUUGAAGUAAAUUAGUUGUGUUGAAUGGCAUUAUCCAUUGAUUAACUAAGACAUGUGGGAUAUAUAAUUAAGAAAAUUUCCAUUUGAACUGAAACAAAUUACAUCCCACAAUUCUUCUGAGAAAGCACAUUAGAGAAGGGCAGUUUGAUAAACAAGGAGAAGAUGGGACAGGGAAAGAAUUCUGUAAUUUUGUGCGGAGUCAUUACCAGUGAUUGCUUUUCACCGCCCAUACUUCUUCAGCACAUCCUUAGUUCUCUUCCUCAAGCGAGUGAAGACGAUAACCAUGCAAGCUAGAACCCAUGGAGGAAAUGUUAUGCCGGAGAACCUUGACGACUUGAACCAUUCCGGUGUUUCUUUAAAGAAUAUUGCGAUCAGAAGUGUUAGCACUGCUACUCCGACCAUGAUCUUCGUCACAGGCUUAACCAAUGAAUCCUGCAAAGAAGAAUUACCAUAAAUACUCUCAAAAGAAAUAAAAAAAAUCAAGAACAGCAUGAGAUCGGUACAAAAAUCUAUCUUUUUCGCCAGGAAUUUUAGCUUUCUUAAAAAGAAAAAAAAAUCAUGAUCAAUCGAAUAAAUUCAACAAAAAGGUUCAGACGAACAAACGAUCGAGAGAGGAAUCACCUUGGGUUCUCCAUCAAUGACGACCACAGAUCCUCCGGUGUAAGGGAGGAUUGAUCGGCCGUUGCGGGAGCUGAAGCGGAUGGGGACGCCUCUCCCCGACUCGGGAUUAAAGGCGAAGAGGGACUUGAACCCAUACUUGUCGAGGAUGUCUUGAACCUCGAGGCGAUCCUGAUCCCAACCGCCCAGCUUCGAUCGGAAGACGUCGAUCGGCCCUCGUCCCCGGCGGAAGAGGUGGACUUCCACCUCCGGUGCCUUGUUCUUGUCGCCGGAGCUAGAAUUGGGGUCAGGCUUCGGCGAAGACUCUUCGAAAGACUCGAUCGCUUCGCCCGCCUUGUUUUCCUCCAUUUUCUUCUGGGCCUCUCUUCUUCCAAGAAAGGGCAAAGGAGCGCAGGUGAGGGCAACGGGGGAGGCGAAGUGGAAUAUGUCUUUAGUGGUGCAUCCCGUCCAGUGUGACUUUUAAUUUAUAAUCCUCCAAGCGAUUCCAAUAUGAAUCGCUUCGUCGAUGUGGGUUCCAUUUAUUUUAUAUGACCGGCUUAGAUCGAGUUUCCGAUGUGAAGCACAAAUUGAGUCCGACCAUUAAUUAGAGAAGAUCCCAAUAUAUGGUUAUUUUUAAGUUUGCCAUAAUUCGCAUACAUAUAUAUAACACAAAAAGUGAAAUUUGAAUUAUAGAAAUUUCAGAAAAAUAAUUUUAAAAAAUACCAAUAAGGAAUCUACUAUCCACAAAAUCAAGAAAUUAAAAAGGUUAAAUGGAGCCAGCAUUACCCACCAACAAAAAUUAGAUAUUACUUGAUAAACAACUCAUGAGAUCAACUUGGUGAAAUUAGCAUAUGGAGAUGAUACAAUAUCAAGGUUCAAGAUACAGAUAUUAAUAUUCCUGUCAACUAUAUUGUUGGGGGCAAUGAUAAUAAUCAUACACUAUCUAUCUAUGGAUGAUAUCAUUAGAUUCUCAAACCAAAAAAGUAGAAUCAUUAUGCCAAACAUACAAAUUUAUCCUAUAAAAUAUAACACAAAUUAAUGAAUGAAAAGAAUAGAAGAUAAGAACAAUUAUUAAAGAAACCUUAUUGAAGUAACUUUAGCUUUAGCUUUAUUGAAUAGAGAGAUUUCCUUAUAUACUUAGGAAAUCUUAUCUUCUAUCACAAAUAGCAGAUGCCAGUAUUUAUCAAUCAUGAAAGCUUAUUGAAAUAUUGUUGGCAACUUUGAUGAACACAUCCUCCAAUGUGGCAUCAACCAGACCCCAUGCCUGGAUUGUGAGUUUACUCUUUGCAAUCUCGACGGCCCGGAAAACAUCAGAUAUCCUGACCUCCUGCUUUGGCAGCUCAAACUUUUGGGUUCCAGAUAUGUGAUAGAUCUUGUUUGCAUUUGGCGAUAGUCGCCGAACCAAGUUUUCCACCUCUUCUUCUUCGUUCGCAGAUGUCGUCAUGGUAAAGACAUAAGAUCCACCAUACCGAGCCUUAAGCUGCAAUGAAAAUUCUUUCAGUAUAUUCUGUUUCUCGGAACUUUUUCAGAUUUGAAAGCUUUUUAUCACCAGAUGAAAGUAGGUGAGGAAAUUAUUUGAACAAUCAAUGUAAUUGUAGAUAUCAUGUGUUUGCAGAGCUUGAAAUAGUUGAGGAAAUGGUUUGAAUAACCAUGUAGCUUAAACUUUAGAUCAGCCACUUAAAUUGUAGGAACAAGUUUUUGAAGUAAUACUACCCUGAUAUGAAUGUCAUGUGAUUGUCAUACCUCCUUUGCAUUUCCUAUGCACUGGAAACCUCCAUCAACGAAGAUGCCAAGACGAUCACAUAAAACCUCGGCUUCCUCCAUCGAGUGUGCUGAAAUCAUUGAGAUAUCUUAAUUAUUUGAGGUCGUCAGUAGUAAAUAAGAAUACAUAUUAUCCCCUGGCAUGAGUGAGAAUAUUUGAUUGUCCUAUUAUCUAGGUGAAAACAAUGAAUCUGAAACUUUUGACAAUGCAGUUAAAUAUGUUUAUGCAAGAUUCAGACAUUUGUCUUUCUAAAACCCAGACUUCGUGGGUAGGUUACUGGCAGCAAUAAAGCUGGCAGAAUAUACAUACUUGUGAGUAUGAUUGCCCGGUCUCUUUUUGCAUGCUUCACGACAUUCCAUAAUCUGUUUCGUGAUGCAGGAUCUAGUCCAGUACUCGGCUCAUCCAUGUAGACAACCUGCCAAAGAUAUUUCAAACCUUAGAUUUUUCUCAAAAUAUUUCUGUCUGUGUAGGUCUAGAACCAUCAGAAAGAUUUGUACCUUAGGAUCCCCAAUCAGUGAAAUGGCAACACUAAGCCUCCUUUUCAUUCCACCACUAUAUUUCGCAACUUGUUUAUCUCCAACACCACCAUAAAACAAAUCCACACUCUUCAAAGAUUCCUCCACAGCCUGGAAGAUGAUGAAUACAUGUAAGAGAUGUCAAUAAGUUUCAGACAUGUAAUACUGAAUUCCAUGAGAAAAUGUGUUCCUGUGCAAUUAAAUUGUUAAAUAAUACAUGCAUUUGACACUUUCUGAGCAGGAUAACCUCCUGAUAGCAACACAAAGAUGCCUCUACAGAAGAAACUAAGAUUAAAAAAAAAAUCCUUAUAUGGGAAGAAAUUGGCUUGUCAAUUUUCAAUUUCAGAUUGAUAAAUAGAAUAUUGGCCAGAUUAAUGCAACAGUGAAUUUAGACAGCCAACUUAAGAUCAGCCAACACAAGUGAACCAUGAAACCUGCUUCUAUAACAAUGUUAAGUCCUUAUUAUUUGAGCAUAUAAUAUAGCAAAUCUACAUGGUAUGUGUUAAUCAUACACUACGGUGAGUUAAUAAAUGGUAAUUUUGUGAUACCCCCCAUUUCUUUUGUUCAAUUAAUAACUUGUACAGUUGCAGUAAAAGGCAAUCUUUUCCUAAUACAAAUGUUUUCACUAAGAACCUCAUACACGUUUAAAUUCCAACCUGUUUGUUGUUAUCAGUUAACAAUCAGAAUAUGGCUUGGUACUCCCAUGAUUAUUGUAAUUAUUGGAACUGAAAAUUAUCCUUUAGUGAUGCAUAAUAAGCAAAGUUAGAAUAUGAUGAUGGAAUUGAAAUUAGAAUCUAAAGUGAUGCAUAAUAAGCAAAGUUACAAAUGGUGAAACUGAAAAUUAUCCUUAGUGUUCGAUACAACUUUGUACAGAGGCAAUUAGUAGUAUAAUUGUACUAUGGUAAGAUGACCCAAAUCUUAAGUAUAACACACCAUAUUGAUAAUUAUGAAAUACCUGUAACAAUGCAGCACCCUUAAGGUUCUUCAGUCGGCCAUAAAACAGUAAGUGUUCUCUGCCAGUCAAUGUUUCCCAGAGCAAGCUGUAGUUUAGGAUGAUUGUUAAUAGGACUAGCAAUGUUUGAUUGAAGUGAACAUGAGAACUAUCAAUGGUAAUCUUCUCAGCAGUAAAAUCAUAAGAUAUAAAUGUCUUACUCAUGCUGUGGGCAUACUCCCAUGCUUGUGUAUAUUUGAUCCAUAUUGGUUCUUAUGUCCAUUCCCUGAACAUAUGCAGUGCCAGAGGAAGGUGUAAUAAGACCAAUCAUCUGCAAAUACAGUUGUUAGGACAAUUUUUUUGCCAUGUAACAUAUGUUAGAACCAUACGAAAUGGAGGACUGAUAGACCAAUAAAUAUGCAAUACUGAAAAAGGCCUAACUGAACUCUUAAGAGUUUAGCUUGAAGGAUGCUAGAAUUGACUUUAUGGUGACUGAAAAAGGGCUUUCAGUAAAUAAUUUUUUUAUUUCAGGAAGAAGAAUAUAUAUAUUGAAUAAAUGCAACUAACUUUUGGAACUGAUACAAAGCCAAGGCUACACAGUGCCGUCAUGACCUAGGUAUAAGCAUCUUGAUGUAAUGCAGUCGAUAAUAAAUCCAUAUUUAAACUUUAUCACUUACCAUAGUGAUAAAGGUAGUUUUUCCAGCACCAUUAGGGCCAAGCAUGCCAAAACAUUCACCAUUAGGUAAAGCAAGAGAUAGUCCUCGAACUGCAUGUUUGUCUGGAUUUCCAUCACAUCCUGGGUAAACCUUUUUGAGGUUAUCAGAGAUGACUGCAUGACUAAUAUAAGGUUCUAGUAGCAGAUGCUCAACAACUUCACGCUGGCAUGAACAAAAACAUGAUAUGAAUGAUUGCAAUUAAUCAAGAGCUGCAGAAACUAAAAGAUCAGUAAUUGAAGACAGUUAAAUGUAAUAUUAAGAAAUACAACAGAAUUUUAUGAUAAGAAAAGCAAUUAGGACAUAUAGAAAUGUAGUCCUCAAAAUCCAAGCUAGCACUUAAUGAAAGUAGUAGUUCAAUAAAAAUUGUUGUUUAAUAAUUGUUGUUAUUUGCAUCUUAAAGUUCUUUUAUGAAACCAAGAUACUCUUAAGUAAUCUUCACUUGGAUGACUUUAUUUUAACAGUCAGUUAGAAAAACAACACGAUACAACCUUGAUUUGAUUUGGAAAGGCCAUUCAUAAAGCAGUAAUAACAAUCAAAUCAUUCUUAGCAACCUAACACAAUUUUCCAUUUCAAAUUAUUUAUGAUAACAAGAUAAUCAACAUCUUCCAAAACAUCUAAGCUCUAGUAUUAAACCAAGUAGCAUUUGAACAUUGUUGAGUUGCUAUUAGUUACAAUAACCAAGUAAAAUACAAAAAAUUCUGACAUUUAAAAGAUCCAUUUUCAGUUAAGCAAUUAACAAACUCUAAUAAUUUUCUGAUUUUGUGUGUCUAUAUAGCUUGCUAUGUUAUGCAAAUAUAUUAAGACUCUUAAUGAAAAACUUGAACUUAAACAGUAAACAAUUAAAUUAAGUGUUUCACCUUUUCAGUAACAAUGAACUUUUAAAUGUUUGUCUGAUCAUUGGAACUCAGUGAAGUAUAUACAAUAGCUCUGGCAAGUAAUGUAACUUACUUCCUGAGAAACAUCAGUACUAUCUAUUUUAACAAGAACUUCAGAUCCUUGUCGCUGCAAACCAGGCUUUCUUUGAGAUGAUCGAGAUUUUUUCUGGAAAUAGUUUAACAAAAAUAGUGGAUCCUUCCUGAUUCCUCCUAAUACUUUAUCCAAAUAAUAUGCGACUGGAAGAAAUACUAGCCACUCAACAAACAUUAUGAUCAAUACAUCUUUCAUCCCAUUUUGCCUGUCAUUUAAAUCUCGCCAUUGCAUACCAGAAGUCCCCAUUUGAUCUCCUUUAAAGGAAUACUGUGAAAGCUCAUAUAACCCACGAUACAAGGAAAAUCCAGGAACGAGCUCCAUUACUAUAAUCCAAGCUCCUGAAAAACAUGAGAAGACCUUUUUUCAAUGUUGAGGAAUUGUGAAGAGAAUUGAUAUCUUCCAGAAAACAUAAACUUUCAGGUCAAAACAUCUUUCAGAUCAUCCCAUAAAGAAUAUUUAUUUGGAAAUGAUCCCACUUACUUGGAAAGCUAGUAUCUUCGAUGAAAAAUUGCAAAAGGUAUGGUCCUAAUAAGCCCGAACCGAACACAUAAAUGUACCCAGUGACUGCAGCAACAGAUUUCAUUUCAUUAAACUAUGUCACUAAGUUCUCCCAUCCAAAGUUUAAGGCAUAAUUUUUUUAUUCAUUUAACCAUAUUUAUAUCUCACCUGUAGCAGUUUUCACAGCAGAAAAGAAAGUUGAUGCGAGAAAGGCCAUCGCUAUCUGCAAGUUUAUGUAAAAGAAAUAGAACACGAUUUGUACGCUGUAGUCAUUCAAUCUGAAAAAUUUUAGCCCUGUACAGGAGAAAAGAUUAUCAGCUCAGUUUUUCAUGUACAAACUAAUGAAGUUUUUGGGCUGUCUUUACCUAUUAGAGAGCCAAAUAUGACAAAACAUAUCAUGUAGAGUGAUGAUAGUGAGAAAAAGUAAACGUAAGAUAUCAACCAGUAAGGUCCAUCUUUUAGCCCAUGCAUUUUCAUCAUAAUUUUUAACUUUUGUUGCCUCUCAUAGACAAGGUAUGUCAAGAUAACCUACAUAAGAAACAAAAGGUUAGUCUCGGUUAAGCAGAAAUAAGUUAGAACAUCCAAAGUUAAUAAUGAUAGUAUAUUAAUUUAGGGUUCUAUAGAUGUUUAGAGAUUGAAAUCCUCAUACAAUGUCACAGGCAUGGAAGAAUACAGUAGAAUCUCAGGGUUCUACCCAUCCACAACAAACACUCAUGGAAAGGCAGACAGUGUAUUACAGAAACUUAGCACUAAAUUUGGAUGCACAUCAAAACAAAAAGCUGUCUCUUUAAGAAAAAGAUUUCAAAGAUCUAUUUUAAUAAUAUUAUCUCUCAUUAAACUUACCGGGAAAAGUAGCUCAAUGAUCCAGGUGAAGAAUAAUGCACCAAGAAGGGAAGAAAUGUCAAACCUCAACUGUGUUCCAGUUUUGGGCAUUUCUUUAAGAUAUUCAAGCAUUGCCAUGACACCAGGACCAUUGUGAAACUUCAGAUAGGCAUUUGAGGCCUGCAAAGUAAAUGAAAAUGAUAAUUUCAUAAAUAAAUAAAAUAUGAGAUAAUGCUCAUUGAUCUAUGUGUUCUUAUACCAAUCUUAGGUCUAGGGGCAACAUGGAUAUAUAAACACAAAAUUAAAGAAAUGUUAGUUAUGAUUGUUAAAAAGGGCCUCGCUUUCUCUUUUCUAUUGUUUAAGCAAAAGGGACAUAGAGACAAUUGAAAGGAUCUAAACUUGAGUUAAAAAGUAUACAAAGUAUGAACAAACACAAUUCAGAAACAAAGUUGAGACAUACUGCUAAAAGUAAACAAAAGAAAUGAUGCAGACAACAGUAUAGGUUAGACAAUUAGCUUAAGCCUCUCUCAGAACUUGAGACAGACUGUUAACUUGUUUUCCUUGAAAAUGAGUAGCUAGUAAAACAUUGAGUUCAUUCAUCGCCUGAGAUUCAUCAAAAAGGCAGGAUUUACAGAGAGGUGCAACUAGAUAUGAGCCAAAAAUAUUGAGUCAGCAGGACUCAUGUUGAUGUUUAGUGUCUACAUAAACUUAAGAGAGGCUCAGCUGAGGCCAUGUGAAAGUGAGAAAGCCUCAUUCAUAUAAAAACAACAUAUUUUGGAUUCUUACUAAAUUUUCAUUGAAUUCAUAUCAAUCAUAUAUUUAAAGGUAUGAGAAAACCACAAACUAGGAUUAGGUUCUGUUUUACUAGUUAUUAUCAAGUAUGAGAGAACCACUCACACAAAUUGCUCAAUCUAUCUCCCACUGAUAAGAGUUACAACAAGUAAUAUAUUUAAUUUUGUCAGUCAAACUUAUCUGUGCUGUUGUACAAGGGAGAGAACACUUAUCACCUUAACAAGAUGAAACAAUAAAAAAAGAUGAAUCGAAAUGCCCUUAAAAAAAUACUAUUGUCAUACUUAUUACUGAUUUUAGCAGCCAUUAGCCAACUAUUUGAUGCUAAUACAAAUCAGAACAUAUUUGCAAUAUCAGAGAUUAUAACAACAGUCUCAUACAUACCAGAUUCACUGAGCGAGGUACACGCACCAGGUAACCAUUGCCAUCAUUAUACGUUGAGUUGUACCCAAUAUUUAGAUUAAAAGAGUUUUCAUCAGAGUUCAAGAAGUCAUAGGCUGCAAGAGAAAGAACAUACUGGUAUAAGCAGCCCCGUACAGACACACAAAAGAUAAAAAAUUUGAAGCCGUUCGAAAAGAUAACCUGCAAUGAACUCAUUAAUUUUCUUCUCUGAAUUUCCUUGUUGGUAACCUUUAAACAACUCAUCAUUUAUCAACGACGAGUUAUCACGCCACAAAGUCAAUCCUUGAACACAUUGUAACUCUGUUGUCAUUUCAAAGACUAGAGAUUCAGAAUAUAAUAAUUUUUUUAACAAAAGCUACAACAUUAAAAUAGUACAAUAUGAAGAAUAUAAUUUCAAAUAAACUUGCAUUUAAUUUUAAUUAAAGGCAGUAAAGGUUUUGGCAAGCAUAGUUUUAUGCAUCACCUGAUUCAAUGAAAUCUUCAGAAUAAGCUUGAUUGCAGCACAAAUUCCAAGUGUACAUAGAUUUGAGGAAUUUAGGCUUAAUUAAUUUUGUAAAAGAUUAUGGACAUGAAAUUUAAAUUUCCUUUUAGUUCAGACUUGCAUUCUGGGUGCAUUUAUAAAUCAUAAAUGACACAUCAAUAUCAUCACCUGGAUCACAUAAUACACGAAAAAGGGUUUCCAAAUAGUUUUCCGAAAAGUGGCUGAUUCUCAUCAAUUUUCUUUAAUAUUUAGUAUGGAACAAGUCUAAAAGGGCUCAAACAUCACGCAGAAAAUCCAAACAUUUUCAUCUGGUCAUAAGCUGAAACAGGAAGCUCAUUCACGUUAUCAUGGAAUUCAAAAAAUAAAUGGAAAAUUGUUGGCAAUAUGCCAAAGCAAAUAGUCACAUUCAGAUUCUAGAAAGAACAAACAAUAGAGGUUUUUUUGCCAGAUCUUUCAAUUAAGUAUUAGAUGAGAAUAUGAUAAUGCAGAGUCCUACACUUCAGCCAUCAGUAUGCCACUUGAAAAUUUUUAAUUAAAGCACAAGUCAUUUGUUCUAGCUCCAUAAUGAUGCCAAGUGAGUUAGCGAGUUGCCUACUGUUCCAGAAUUUUCAGAAGUCAGCAUGCAGUUGGAAGCAAGCAAUAGAUAAUGACGUGAAACAACCAACGCAAAAGAAAUAUCUUUAUUAUAUAUUUGGGGAAAGAUCCUAUAGUUUUAUGAGGCAUCUCUUUCUUGUAGAAGAAGAGACAAAGGACACUUCUGUGUAUUACCAAUGGACACACCAUGUGACUGCUGAGAUACCAACAAAACCUCACCGCAGGCGAUUGUACAAAUGCAGAUUUCAACAUGACAGAAGUACUCUAAACCAGACCUCAAAUGGAAACGAUAAGUUGACAAAGAAAAGGAACAGGAGGAGGAAGAAAACUUAGUCUUGCUCCCGGCAAGAAAAUAUUUUACCUAGCUCAAUUGAUCUGUUGGCAAUUAGAAAGGAAAUUGGACUUGCUGCAUUUGAUGCACAUUGAGGUUGGAUCAGAUAUAAGGGUUUAUCAGAGACAAAAGCAGGCUCCAUGAACUGUGUGUUUCCCGUUGAUGUGUCGGUCCCCUGGAAAGGUCAAGGACAGAACCAAUCUUGCCUCCAAUUACGAAUGAUAGCAGCAAACUAGACAAAAGCAUUGGUUCUAAGAUCUUACAAGCAUGACAGUAAACAAACUGCUGGGGAAAUCCGAGAGGUUCAAUGCGGAGGAAGAACUCAGAAACAGACUCUGCGCCAGAACUGCCAACAAAGAUCAAUUUCGGUUCAGACAGUUACUCACGGGCAAUCAUCGUAUUGUGAUGGAUUUCCGGAACAAAAGCAUGGCAAGAGAAUCGGAUACUUUGUGCGAAGGAUUGAUUGCCGCCGGUGAAAAGUACCGACGCCGGACAGGACUGCGAGACCUUGCAAGACUCAUCGGGCAAGCCCGCGGGGGUGGGGUGAUCGGAUGUCACGGCGCGAGACUCGGGGCGAGGAACCUGGAGGAGCGCCGGCCACUCGAAGGGGCUGGAGAUGGGGCAUGCGUCGAACUGAUCCAGCGAUGAGUACUGGAUGCCGCAGACCCCUCCCUGGCACCCGCAUCGAUGCCCGUACUUGUUGAUCUCCUCCUCCACCACCUUCUGGAUGAGGAUGAUCACCGCGCAGAGGAAGAUGGGGAACGCGACGAUCCCGAUGUUGGUCUUCAGGUUCCGUUUCUGCCAUAAGAGGACACGCAUACAGGCAAGCAAUGAGAAGGCUCGAAGCGCAUGAGGGAAAGAACACAAAAGGUGAUUCUAUUCCUGUUCAUUUCGCCACUCCGCUCAGGAAACGAAAUCGAGUUGAUGAGAGGAAGGCGGAGGAAGGGGAACCUGGAAGGUGAGGUUCUUGCGGAGGAGAGCAUUGGCUUGGGUGAAGAAGCUGGCGGCGCCGCGGGACGAAUAGGAGGACGAUGACUCCAUCGAUUCCUUUCUCUCUCUCUCGCCUUCGCAAGAAAUGUAUUUGCGUCUACUUCCCUGUUCGCUUCUGUCUCUCUCGAAAGAUCAAUGAUUUGAAAGCUUGAAAGAAGGGAUGGAGGAUUUAUAGGGCAACUCCGAAGUGGUGGUAAGGAAAGGGACGGCAUGACUUCGCUUGCAUGGCUGCACACGGGGACGAAAACAAUCGCUGGAUCACGUGACAGCAGCAAAUGUACGUACGAAGGAUACAAAGGUCAACGCAGGAUCGUUUGACUUCCGAGAUGGGAGAUUUGGGCUCAGUGAGAGUUUCGGUGGCGGCGAAAAUGAUGGAAAACGAUUUUUUUUUUCCCUUACAAAUUCUAUUCUAAGCUAUGAAAUUAUAGAAAAAAUAAAUAUUUUUUCUUCUUUUUCUUUUUAGAUAUUUGAAUAUAAUAAAAAAAAAUUCUUUGCAUAAAGGAAGUUUUGGAAUUUGUUUUUGUUUUUGUUCCUACCAAAUAAACAUCACAAAAGAAGUUUUCAGAAGAAACAUGACCUUUCAAAGAUCCUUUUUCAGUUAAGCAAUCAACAAAUUCUAAUAAUUUUCUGAUUGACUGAUUCAAUAUAGCUUGCUAUGUUCUGCAAAUAUAUUAAGACUCCUAAUGAAAAACUUGACCUUGAACAGUAAUCAAUUAAAUGAAGUGUUUCACUUUUUCAGUAACAAUGAGCUUUUAAAUGUUUGUCUGAUCAUUGGAACUCAGUCAAGUUUACAAUAGCUCUGAAAAGUAAUGCAACUUACUUCCUGAGAAACAACACUACUCUCCGUUUCAACAGGAACUCCGAAUCCUCGUCGCCGCAAACUACGGUUUCUUUGAGAUGAUGGAGAUUUUUUCUGGAAAUAGUUUAACCAAAAUAGUGGAACCUUCCUGAUGCCUCCUAAUACCUGAUCCAAAUAGAAUGCAACUAGAAGAAAUACUAGCCACUCAACAAACAUUAUGAUCAACACAUCUUUCAUCCCAUUUUGCCAGUCAUUUAAGUCUCCCCAUUGCAUGCCAGAAGUCCCCAUUUGAUCUCCUUUAAAGGAAUGCUGUGAAAGCUCAUAUAACCCACGAUACAAGGAAAAUCCAGGAAUGAGCUCCAUCAUUAUAAUCCAAGCUCCUGAAAAACAUGAGAAGACCCUUUUUUCAAUGCUGAGGAAUUGUGAAGAGAAUUGAUAUCUUCCAGAAAACACAAACUUUCAGGUCAAAACAUCUUUCAGAUCAUCCCAUAGAGAAUGUUUAUUUGGAAAUGUUCCUACUUACUUGGAAAGCUAGUAUCUUCGAUGAAAAAUUGCAGAAGGUAUGGUCCUAAUAAGCCGGAACCAAACACAUACAUGUACCCAGUGACUGCAGCAUCAGAUUUCAUAUCAUUAGACUAUGUCACUAAGUUCUCCCAUCCAAUUUAGCCAUAUUUAUAUCUCACCUGUAGCAGUUUUCACGGCAGAAAAGAAAGGUGAUGCGAGAAAGGCCAUCGCUAUCUGCAAGUUUAUGUAAAAGAAAUAGAACACGAUUUGUACGCUGUAGUCACUCAAUCUGAAAAAUUUUAGCCCUGUAGAGGAGAAAAGAUUAUCAGCUCAGAAAAGGCUUAGCUUUUCAUGCACAAACAAAUGAAGUUUUUGGGCUGCCUUUACCUAUUAGAGAGCCAAAUAUGACAAAACAUGUAAUGUAGAGUGAUGAUAGUGAGAAAAAGUAGACGUAAGAUAUCAACCAGUAAGGUCCAUCCCUUAGCCCAUGCAUUUCCAUCAUAAUGUUUAACUUUUGUUGCCUCUCGUGGACAAGGUAUGUCAAGAUGACCUACAUAAGAAACAAAAGGUUAGUCUCUGUUAAGCUGAAGUAAGUUAGACCAUCCAAAGUUUAUGAUGAUAGUAGAUUAAUUCAGGGUUCUAUAGAUGUUUAGAGAUUGAAAUCUUCGUACAAUGUCACAGGCAUGGAAGAAUACAGUAGAAUCUCAGGGUUCUACCCAACCACAACAAACACUCAUGGAAAGGCAGACUGUGUAUUACAGAAACUUAGCACUAAAUUUGGAUGCACAUCAAAACAAAAUGCUGCCUCUUUAAGAAAAAGAUUUCAAAGAUCUAUUUUAAUAAUGUUAUCUCUCAUUAAACUUACCGGGAAAAGUAGCUCAAUGACCCAUGUGAAGAAUAACGCACUGAGAAGAGAAGAAAUGUCAAACCUCGACUGUGUUCCAGUUUUGGGCAUUUCUUUUAGAUAUAGCACUGCCAUGACAACAGGACCAUCGUGAAACUUCAGAUAGGCAUUUGAGGCCUGCAAAGUAAAUGAAAAUGAUAAUUUCAUAAAUAAAUGAAAUAUGAGAUAAUGCUCAUUGGUCUAUGUGUACUUAUACAAAUCUUAGGUCUAGGGGCAAUAUGGAUAAUAUAAACACAAAAUUAAAGAAAUGUUAGGUAUGAAUGUUAAAAAGGGUCUCGCUCUCUCUUUUCUAUUGUUUAAGCAAAAGUGACGUAGAGACUUAUGUUCAUAAUUUUGUAUCGUAUCGACGUUUCAAGCUCAGCUCAGUACGGUACUAUAUGGUAUGAUACGGUAUGACAUCGUCAGUAUAACGCCGACGAUGCCGAGGCCUCGUUGCCUCAGAUGAGGAGGAGGUGACAUCUCAUUUGUGGCAUCCGGUGAGUGAGGGGGGCGACGGAUCGGGAUCGUCGAGGGAGAGCAACGACGAUCGAAAUUGAUCGUUAUCGAUCGAUUUCGGAUGGUAACAGGACGGAAACAGUCCCAUUCGAUAGUAUCGUUCUGCUGGUAGACCAGGCGAUCCAGACGUUAUCAUUCGAAAUUAAAAUCUUUGAUAGAGACAAUUGAAAGAAUCUACAAAGAAUGAACAAACACAAUUCAUAAACAAAGUUUAGACAUACAGCUAAAAGUAAACAAAAGAAAUGAUGCAGACAGCAGUAUAGGUUAGACAAUUAGCUUAAGCCUCUCUCAGAACUCGAGACAGACUGUUCGCUUGUUUUCCAUGAAAAUGAGUAACUAGUAAAACAUUGUGUUCCUUCAUCACCAGAAAUUCAUCAAAAAGGCAGGAUUUACAGAGAGGUGCAACUAGAUAUGAGCCAAAAAUAUUGAGUCAGCAGAACUCAUGUUGAUGUUUAGUGUCUGCAUAAACUUAAGAGAAGCUCAGUCGAUGCUAUGUGAAAGUGAGAAAGCCUCAUUCAUAUAAAAACAACAUAUUUUGGUUUCUUACUAAAUUUUCAUUGAAUUCAUAUCAAUCAUAUAUUUAAAGGUACGAGAAAACCACAAACUAGGAUUAUGUUCCGUUUUACUAGUUAUUAUCAAGUAAGAUUACUUGACAAGUAGUCAAAGUAACACCUUGUUAGUGAAUAAAGAAUAUCUAUUAGUAUAAAGGCAGGAUUUUCAGAUUAAAGAAUUUGGAGUAGUACUCAUCAGUUAAAUAAUGCUAUGAUUCCACAGAAAGUCCAUUAUGCUUUUUGCUAUUGGAGCCCAAGUGAUUAGUUCCAUAUUGAAAAUUGAUAAGACUAAGAUUGAUUUAUAAGGAUCCGAUGAACAUAAUAUUAUCAAUUUUAGUUUAAACAUUUUUGACCAAUUACUAGGAAGUGAACCUCUCCGAGGGUUAACCGCUACUUUUAGGAAACAGUAAGAAUUAAGAGUAUGAAUAGAAUAAUAUUAACUGAAACCAAAUUUUAUGAAUAGAAUAAUGUGUUAAUAAAAUUGCUCACUCUAUCUCCCAGGGAUAAUAGUUACAACAAGUAACAUAUUUAAUUUUAUGUCAGCCAAACUUAUCCAUGAUGUUGCUGCACAAGGGUGAGAACACUUAUCACCUUAACAAGAUGAAACAAUCAAAAAAGAUGAAUUAAAAUGCCCUUAAAAAAUACUGCCCUCAUACUUAUUACUGAUUUUAGCAGCAAUUAGCCAACUAUUUGAUGCUAAUACAAAUCAGAACAUUAUUUGCAAUAUCAGAGAUUAUAACAACAGUCUCAUACAUACCAGAUUCACCGAGUGAGGCACACGCACCAGAUAACCAUUGCCAUCAUUACACGUUGAGUUGUACCCUAUAUUUAGAUUAAAAGAGUUUUCAUCAGAGUUCAAGAAGUCAUAGGCUGCAAGCGAAAGAACAUACUGGUAUAAGAAGCCCCAUAUAGACACACACACAAAGGAAAAAAUUUGAAGCAGUUCAAAAAGGUAACCUGCAAUGAACUCAUUAAUUUUCUUCUCUGAAUUUCCUUGUUGGUAAUCUUUAAAUAACUAAUCAUUUAUCAACAACGAGUUAUCAUGCCACAGAAUCAAUCCUUGAACACACUGUAACUCUGUUGUCAUUUCAAAGCCUAGAGAUUCAGAAUAUAACAUUUUUUUCUUAACAAAAGCUACAAUGUUAAAAUAGUACAAUAUGGAGAAUAUAAUUUCAAAUAAACUUGCAUUUAAUGUCAAUUAAAGGCAGUAAAGGUUCUAAGCAUAUUUUUAUGCAUCAUCUGAUUCCAUGAAAUCUAAAGAAUCAGCUUGAUUGCAGUUCAAAUUCACAAUGUACAUAGAUUUGAGGAAUUUAGGCUAACUUAAUUUUGUAAAAGAUCAUGGACAUAAAAUUUAAAUUUCCUUUUAGUUCAGACUUCCAUUCUGGGUGCAUUUAUAAAUCAUAAAUGACACAUCAAUAUCAUCACCUGGAACACAUAAUACAUGAAAAAGGUUUCCAAAUAUUUUUUUUUUUCCAAAAGGUGGUUGAUUCUCAUCAUUUUUAUUUAAUAUUAUAUUAUGGAACAAGUCUGAAAGGCCUCAAACAUCAUGCAAAAAUUCCAAACAUUUUCAUCUGGUCAUAAGCUGAAACAGGAAGCUCAUUCAUGUUUUCACAGAAUUCAAAAAAUAAAAAGGAAAAUUGUUGGCAAUAUGCCAAAGCAAAUGGUCACAUUCAGAUUCAAGAAGGAACAAAAAAUAGAGGCUUUUUUGCCAGAUCUGUCAAUUGAGUAUUUGAUGAGAAUAUGAUAAUGCAGAGUCCUAUACUUCAGUCAUCAGUAUGACACUUGACGAAUUUUAAUCAAAGCACAUCAUUUGUUCUAGCUCCUUAAUGAUGCUAAGCAAGUUGGAGAGUUGCCUACUGUUUCAGAAUUUUCAGAAAUCAGCAUGUAGUUGGAAGCAAGCAAUAGAUAAUGAUGUGAAGCAACCAACGCAAAAGAAAUAUCUUUUAAAUAUAUUUGGGGAAAGAUCCUGUAGGUUUAUGAGCCAUCUCUUUCUUAUAGAAGAAGAGGCAAGGAACACUUCUGUGCAUUACCAAUGUACACACCAUGUGACAGUUGAGAUACCAACAGAACCUCACCACAGGCGAUUGUGCAAAUACAGAUUUCAACAUGACAGAAGUACUGUAAACCAGACCUCAAAUGGAACUAUAAGUUGACAAAGAAAAGGAACAGGAGGAGGAAGAAAACUAAGUAGUCUUGCUCCCGGCAAGAAAAUAUUUUACCUAGCUCAAUUGAUCUGUUGGCAAUUUUAAUGGAAAUUGGACUUCUCGCAUUUGAUGUACACUGUGGUUGGAUCAGAUUUAAGGGUCUAUCAGAGACAAAAGCAGGCUCCAUGAACUGUGUGUUUCCCGUUGAUGUGUCGGUCCCCUGGAAAGGUCAAGGAAAGAACCAAUCUUGCCUCUAAUUACGAAUGAUAACAGAAAACUACACAAAAGCAUUGGUUCUAAGAUCUUACAAGAAUGACAGUAGACAAACUGCUGGGGAAAUCCAAGAGGUUCAAUGCGGAGGAAGAACUCAGAAGCAGACUCUGCGCCAGAACUGCCAACAAAGAUCAAUUUCGGUUCAGACAGUUGCUCGCGGGCAAUCAUCAUAUUGUGAUGGAUUUCCGGAACAAAAGCAUGGCAAGAGAAUCGGAUACUUUGUGCGAAGGAUUGAUUGCCGCCGGUUAAAAGUACCAACGCCGGACAGGACUGCGAGACCUUGCAAGACUCAUCGGGCAAGCCCGCGGGGGUCGGGUGAUCGGAUGUCACUGCGCGAGACUCGGGGCCAGGAACUUGGAGGAGCGCCGGCCACUCGAAGAGGCUGGAGCAGACCCCUCCCUGGCACCCGUAUCGAUGCCCGUCCUUGUUCAUCUCGUCCUCCACCACAUUCUGGAUGACGAAGAUCACCGCGCAGAGGAAGAUGGGGAACGCGACGAUCUCGAUGUUGGUCUUCAGGUUUAGCUUCUGCCAUAAGAAGACACGCAUACAGGCAAGCAAUGAGAAGGCUCGAAGCGCAUGAGGGAAAGAACACAAAAGGUGAUUCUAUUCCUAUUCAUUUCGCCACUCCGCUCAGGAAACGAAAUCGAGUUGAUGAGAGGAAGGCGGAGGAAGGGGAACCUGGAAGGUGAGGUUCUUGCGGUGGAGAGCAUUGGCUUGGGUGAAGAAGCUAGCGGCGCCGCGGGACAAAUAGGAGGACGAUAACUCCAUCGAUUCCUUUCUCUGUCUCGCCUUCGCAAGAAAUGUAUUUGCGUCUGCUUCCCUGUUCGCUUGUGUCUCCCUCGAAAAAUCAAUGAUUUGCAAGCUUGAACGAAGGGAGAGAGGAUUUAUAGGGCAUUCUCGGGAAUUUUGAGCAGGAAAUGGUGGUAAGGAAAGAGCCGGCAUGACUUCUCUUGCAUGGCUGCACACGCUGGAUCAUGUGACAGCGGCAAAUGUACGUAGGAAGGAUACAAUGGUCAACGCAGGAUCGUUUGACUUCAAAGAAGGGAGGUUUUGCCACAGUGAGAGUUUCGGUGGUAGAGAAAAUGAUGGAAAACGAUUUUUUUUCCUUAUAAAUUCUAUUCUAAGCUAUGAAAUUAUAGAAAAAAUAAAUAUUUUUCUUAUUUUCCUUAAUAGAUAUUUGAAUAUAAUAAAUUUUUUUCUUUGCAUAAAAGAAGGUUUGGAAUUCUUUUUCUUUUUGUUCCUGCCAAAUAAAUAUUAAAAAAGAAGUUUUCAGAAGAAACAUGAGCUUUCAUGAACUUUUGGUGCAACCAUGCACACCCUUAGAACAAUUAGGUUGUAUGAACAUGAGAACAUUAGGAAAAGCUUUAAUAUCAAAUUUGGUGAUGCAUGUUCAUGUUAUAUUUGAAAGAAAUUACUAGUUGAUAUUGUGCAUGAAUAUAUGCACUAACAGUAGUUACAAAAUAGGAUAAUAUGAUGAUUUUUUUAAUAAAAAUAAAUGUAAAAUAUACAUUCCAAUCAUAUUAUGAUGGACGAAAUCAUGAUGAGAUUAUUAUGAUUAAAAAAUUAUAAUAUGUUAUCAUAAUUUCUUUGAUUGAGAUAACAAUGACAACUUGUUAUCAUUUCUCUUUCCAAUAUUGUCUUUUUCUUUAUCAUUCUUAUUAUUAUUAUAUUCUGCCAAGAUGCUUAUUAAAAAGAAAGUAGAAGGAAGUAUUGGCAUGAAAUAGGCUUGUUAACUAAAAUUAGUGAAAUUUAGGUGGAUAACUUGUCUGAAUUAAUGGAUGAGGUUAAUGUUUCAACUCAAAGUAGAUUAGUCAUAUAAGGUGGCUCACUAGUGUUCGAAAUCUAAUCAACAAAAUUGUUAGAAGUAAGCGUAGGCAAGAGAACAUCAAGCAAUUAAAAAGGAAAGACAAUCUACAAAAUCAAGGGUAAGAACUGUUUUGGUCGAUAGAUCAAAAGAUAGAAAGGCAAUAAUAUCCAAGAAAAACUCAUGAUUUUGAUUGGGCUUUCAAUGUUAGAUUUUAACUAUGGACACUCAAAACAUAUAAUUUAGUAUAAUUAAGAUUAGAUCAAAAUAAAUUUUUAAAAGGUAAUAUAUUAAGAACGAAAGUGAACAUAAAAUUAAUAAGGCAACAUGUGAGAAAAAGCUCGAGUGAGAAGAGUGAGUGCUUUGGAUGAUAUAACCAUAACUAGAUUCACUAAGUUCGAGAGGGACGAGAAAAUAAAAUAUUUCAUUAAUUUUAAGAAAUUACAAGGUUUUUGGAAUUCAUCAUCAUUACCAUAAUAAAAAAAUAAUUGAUUAAACUUUCGAUUAUGAGUUUGAAUUCAAAAAAAAUGAUGAAUACUUCAUAUUUUGCUUCAUAAGAAAUAACCAUCUAUACUUAUGAAUGAUCAAGAAAGAUAAGAUAAGACUUAAUCUCAUCAUGAAACUAUAUUAGUGAAGGACCUCAAAUAUUAAAACAAAUAAGUUUAAGUGAUAAAUUGCUUUUGAGAUAUGUAGCAAAUAAAAUUUUGUGCAUUUUAUUAUAUUUGCACAAACUACAUGAAACAGGAUGGCAAGAGGAUGAUGAUAAAGAAAAAUUAUAAGAACAAAGGAAAAAGUAAGGAUGCUCUAAUCAUUUAUGUCAUUUCUGGAAUGAUGGUAAAAGCAAAUAUGAGUUUGUAUGAAAUUGAUCCAAUAGUUGGUCACUCACAAAUUUCAUCAAAAAUAUUAUUAGAAAAUAUAAUAGAGAAUUUUUUUUAGGAAUCUUAAGCAAUUAAGGAGAAGAAAAGUAUGUGAAACAAGUAUGAGUUAUUUUAAGAUUUUUACUAUCACAUUUCUUAAUAUCAUCUGAAUGAUUAUAAAAUAGAAUAAUUGCAUAAUUUUCUUAAUCAAGAAAAUAUAUAAUUCACAUUCCAAUUAUAUUAUGAUGGGGAAAUAAUUUCCAUGACACUUGUGAUUGAGAGAAUUUUAAUAACAUAUUACCAUAAUUUCUUUUAUUUCAUAAAAUUAUCUUGCUCAAUAUCAUCAUUCCUAACAAUAUAAAGAACAUAAUUUUCUCUCCAGAAAAUCUUAAUCUUGGAAUAUAAGUUUAAACUCUGAGUGCAAAAGUCUGAUUGGUAUAGAAAGUUCGAGUGAGAGAAUUAGUACAGCUUUUAUUCUCUUUAAUUGUCUCUCCUCUAUCAAGUUACCAUAUUGCUAUCAAUUUUCCAGCACUUAAUGAAUUCUAAUGAGACAUAAUAUGACACUGUAUCUGCUCCAAGUUGGAUUAUUCAAUUAUAAGUGCAUAUUUAAUUUUCAUAAUGAGUUGUUAAUUCUUAUUAAUUUUCCCAUCAUUCUUGGUAUCAAUAUAUUGAUCGGAAGAUUCUUGUCAAUGCAAUGUAAAAGUAAAAAAUAUUCACUCAAUUUAACUAUAUCUUGAUAAGGCAUAUUUUGGGCCCUAGCCAGGUCGCAACUGAUAUCGCAUCACGCCCCUGUCAAGUUAGCACGAGGAGUACUUCCACGUGACAAGCCAGGAUCCGUAUCAAGGCACCUCUCGGUACAUUUUGUCUCGGGAAGCUCGGGACGGCGCCGUAUGGCGCCGUUCCAUGCAUUCCGAGUGGCGGCUGCACAAAGGUAUCAUCUCGUCGCUCAAGGAUUGGUCGUCACAUCAAAUCCGCAUACGAUCGAUCCUUAUGCAGUAGUAUAAAAACCUCUGACCAACAUCUGGCCAAGGGGAGGCGGAAAAAAGGAAACCAAAUACUAACUUAACCGUCUAGGGGCCAAAGUCGAAAACCCCCGACGAGGGCCUUCUGUGCAGGAGCGCGGUCCUUCCAACUUAAUAUGGUAACUUUUUAUUUAUUUCAGAUGCAACUUCUUCACGUAUUAGGUGCAUUUAUAUUGAGCACUUGAUUAGGCUUGUUUUGGAUACGUAUUGUCUUUUGAACUUCUUCCUUGCUUAUGCUACAUGUUGAUGCCAAUAUUACUUAUAUCUUGCAUAUAUGGCCUUCUUUGCAGCUAAGAUUUGCUUUCAUGAUAUCAACUUUCAUUAGCAAGUCAUCAUCAGCCACAACUGUUGGGUUCUCGAUAUUCAUAAUUGGUUUUCUAACUCAGGUGAAGUUCUCGUAGUAUUACUGUAGCUUGGAAGUGAAGCUUUAGUUGUGCUGAUUUACAAAUGGAAUAACGUAUUUCAUCACUGCAGCUCGUUACAGUAGGCACGUUUCCAUAUUCUAGCCACUUCUCAAAAAUAUAUCGUGUUGUAUGGUCUCUAUUCCCCCCCAACCUUCUUGCCAAAGCUCUUGGUUUGCUUGGCAAUGCAACAGCUACCUCUGAAGGCAAAGGAAUCAGUUGGCGCAACCGUGGAGAAUGCACCACAUUUGAACCUAAUUGUGUGAUAACUAUUGUAUGUUUGCAGUUUAUCCCAAGUAGAAAAUUUGCCAUUAAUCUCCUUCACGUCUGACAUUCACUGUGUAUAUCAAACAGGAAGAUAUCUAUAGGUGGCUCAUAUCAACAUUCUUUUUAUGGUUCAUUUUGACAAUUUAUUUUGCCUUCUUGGACCUAACGGAGCUGGGAAAACUACCGUGAUUAAUUGUCUUACUGGUAUUACACCAGUUACAGGAGGAGAUGGUAAAAUCUUCUUCUUUUUUUAGCAUAUAUUUUUGUUGUGCACAAACAGUAAAAAGGCCAUGAUGCUAAGUCACACUACCUACUUACAGCAUUAAUUUAUGGAUAUUCUGUUCGGAGUUCAGUGGGUAUGUCAAAAAUCCGAAGGAUGAUUGGAGUCUGUCCCCAGGUAUGCUUCAUUUGCCUCCAGAAUUAAGUUGGCAAACUCUUUAAAGCCAUACUUUUAACUGUUUGAAAAACAAGACUGAUUAGUUUCUGAUUAUAGAUUCUUCUCUGUUUGGCAGUUUGAUAUCCUAUGGGAUGAAUUAUCAGCUCUAGAACAUUUGCAUCUAUUUGCUAGUAUUAAAGGUUUGCCUCCAUCUAGGAUUAAAUCGGUAGGUGCUCAAGACCCUUCUAGCGUUUCAUUCUUGUUUUUGUUAAACAGUAUCUAUAAUCUUCAAUCCGGUUAAAUACAAACUUUUGAAGUGGAAUUUCUUGGUGGAAAAUAUGCCCUCCUUUCUCCUACACAAUUCACACACACAUAUGCAAGAACACUACAUCUGGAGUUGAGACAAAUUUCAUAAACAUUUGUGAGCUAAAAGAACUUUAUUUCAACUAAGAAGUGUUAAUAUUAUUUUUACAGUUUCUUUUUUUUUCUGCUCUAGGAUGGUCAAUUACUCAAAUUGAAUAUGUUUUUUUGGUAAUUCAGGUAGCUGAAAAGUCAUUAGCGGAUGUAAAACUCAUUGCUGCUGCUCGAGUUAGAUCUGGAAGCUAUAGUGGAGGAAUGAAGCGUCGGCUUAGUGUUGCAAUAGCCUUCAUUGGAGAUCCAAAAUUGGUUUUUUUGGAUGAGCCAGUAAGUUGCUGUUGAAAGUUCACUGUCAUACACGAUCAUUAUUUUCUUUUGCCAAGAAUAUUUGGUGCUUUUGGUUUCUUUUCUACAAUUUCAGUUCUACCUGCUUUAACUCAUCUUUAAACAAUUGUGUCGGAUAUCUUCAUGAUUCAUCUAGGCUUCUCAUUCCAAGUUCCGACUCUGCAGAAACUAGUUCCAGAAUGGCUUGUAUCUCCCAAGGAUCCAGUGUUUUCAUAUUCCUCCCUCUUAUUCAUUAGAUCACACUAAAGCUUCUCCGUUCCUGAAGUGAUUGAGAGAGAUAUGAUUAAUAAGAAAUUAAAUGUUCAUGAGCCAUGGAUGGUAUCAUUUUGGAUGGUAUCAGACCAAUAAUCCUUGCUCUGAUACCAAAAGAAACGGAAGACGACCAAUAAUUUGUAAGAAAUGAUAAGCACAAAGAACUAUAGAAAGCUUAAAAUGCUUACAAAGGAUUGGACUUAGACUUCUUCUCAAGUAAGACUCUGGUUUUUCGACCGAUGUCUUGCAAGAGACUAAGCUAGAGAAUAUAUAGAGGAAGAGGAUAGAACCGGGUACUCAUUGGGCCCCAUCGCAUUCUUAUCUCUUCUUCUAAUAUAUUUCUAGACUUCGUACUGAAGGAAAGGAUAUUCCUUAGUACAAUUAUUGAUGACACUACGAGCGGCUCCCCGGGGCUCAACUCGUUUGACAGCUAAGAAAAACAGGUGCUCUACCCCACGCAACUUGUUUUUACUUGGCGGCUAAGAAAAGUAGAUGCUCCAGCUGUUGCAGGACCUCUAAAGGCUAAAGCUAGUUGUCCUCUGUGAGACGUCUUUUGCCAGAGAUAGAGCCUUCUCCAGUUGUUGUUGCUGCUGGAGGACAACUGGUAACCAGUCCUUGUACCAGUUGUCUUUUCCACCGCUCCUUCUUUGAUACUCUUUAGUCUUGAUUAGGUGGAUGUCCAUGAAUUCCUUUUGAAUUGCUCCAAGUCUUCUUUCAGAUAGUCCCAUUUCAUCAAAUGUGAGUCCUUCACAUGUCUUGGCUCUGAGCUUAUCCAUUUCUUGUUGGUAUUGCAGGAGGAGGUCGCCUGGUUUAUUAGUUGAUUCAGGUGUGCAGUGGCCCUGAGGUUUGGUUUGGCUUGAACUUCCUGAGUGGCUUCUAGGAGAAGGAGUAAUGAUUCGUUGGGCCAUCCUGCAACCAAAAUAUUUAUUAGUCGGGAUAAAGAGUCGGCUAGAAUGUUACUAUCUCCUUCGAUGUGCUCAAAUUUGAUUUCAACGCCGCUUCCAGUGAUGUAGUCUACAAAGGACAUCCAUCGGACUCUAGAUGGUUUGUUCUGAGUGGACUUGUUGAAGAAGCUUAUUAUUGCUUGACAGUCAGUUCUGAUGAUAAUUUCCUUUUUAUCAAGAAAGUAAAUUUUCAAUGCCUCCAGAGUUUUCAUGACUGCAUGCAUUUCAACGUCUAUAGUGGACUUGAUCGGAUUGUACUUUCCGCUGGCGUAGGCACAUACCUUUUCAGUGUUUCUGGGGUCGUAUUUUUGUUUUUUCCAUUUACAAAUACCUCCCCAUCCUUCCAUGCAUCCGUCCGUUUCGAGUAUUAUAAAACAGUCUUCAGGAGGUACCUCUAGGUCAGGGAGAUUUUGUAUCAGGCUCUUAAUCUUCCUGAUUAGUUUCCAAUCUUGCUCAUUUAGCCUUUUCUCGCCAGUGGGGCUUGUUUUUGAAUAUAAUGGGCCUAGAAGCCUGCCCAGGUUGGGUAUAUAGCUUCUUGCAUAGUUUAGAAUUCCCAGCCAUGAUCUGAGGCCCUUCUUGGUAGUAAGGUCUUCUUCCUGAUACUCUGUGAUUCUUUUAAUAAUAUGGGGUUGUAACUUAAUUUUGGAGUUCCCCAAGACUGCUCCAAGAAAUUCAAUCUCCUUUACUGCAAUUUUCAUUUUCGUUGGGCUUAAGACAAGGCCGUUUUCUUGGCAUAUUUCUAACAUUUUAGUGAGGUGUUGCCCAUGCUCCUUUUCGUUUUCUGAGAAGACAAGGAUAUCAUCAAUGUAUACUGCAAUGAAUUGUUCAGUACCUUUGAAGCAGCUAUCCAUUUUUCUUUGGAAUACAGCAGGGGCAUUUUUGAGACCAAAUGGCAUUGCAAGCCAUUCAUACAGUCCUUCAGGAACCCAGAAUGCAGUCCAUUCAAUGGAAUCAGGGUGCAUGGCAACUUGGUGAAAGCCCGAUUUUAGGUCAAACUUUGAGUAGAUUUUGCUAUUGCUGACCUUUUUAAGGAUGGUAUUGAUACCAGGAAGGCUGUAUUGAUCCUUUUCGGUGAUGUCGUUGAGCCUUUUGUAAUUAAAAACCAUCCUUUCCUUCCCUUUUCUUUCAGCUCCUGUUAUGGGGUCCACCGUGGUUCCUGAAUUAACAAUUAUAGCAGUGGUACGGUGCUUACUUUUGCUUGGUCUGAUAACCCCUAUUUCCAGUAGUGCUUUUACAUGCCUUGAGAAGGCUUCCUUUGCUUGUGGUGUUAAAUGUCUAAGGGGUUUGUCUUCCACCACGAAGUCUUGAUUCUUAAUCUCCAACCUGCAGGUUAUCUUGUUCUUUUUCCAAUGUUUGAGGGGAUCUUCUCCAAUAUAACCUUGGGCUUUUAACUGGUCUAGUAGGCUUCCAAACUUGGCCCUCAUAUCUUCAUUGCUUUGCUGGGCUUCUGCAGAGUAAAAUACUGCCUCCUGGAUUUGGAUAUAGUCAUCUUCUUCCAAAUCUAGUUCUUCUAUUGCUGCGGCUGUUGAGGUAUAGGGCAAAGUAUUAAUAGUCGUUAAGUUUUUGUAAAACGUAACCGUGUUACCUUCAAUCCUAACUCCUCCUUGCAUUGCCCUUAUAAAAUUACAUCCUAUUAUCAUUUGAAUAUCAUCCCCAAGCUUCAUUGAGAACGCAUAGGUGUAAGGAAUCCUGAAAGUGUUGUUCCCAAUAGUCAUUUUGCCUCCCCUCAAUUUUUUGUUUGCUGUCGUUUUGGAGGUGAUCCCACUGAAAUGCACCACAUAAGGGUUUUCUUCUAUUGCAGCUUUUGGUACAGCCUUCUCGUCUAUGCAACAAGUGGUAGCACCUGUAUCUAGUAUAGCAUUAACUUCAAAAGGGGGAAUAUUCAGAAUUUCCAUAUGUACCUUUAAGUUGAAGAGCAUAUUCUUAGAUCUUCUUGAUCCUCCCGUUUCCUUUGUUUCCAUAGAGAGGAUUUUCUGAGUUUCUUCCUCCAAGAGAACAAGGGCCUCUUCAUUCUCUUCUUCUUCUUCGCUUUCUUCAGUUUUUCUUUUUCCAAGCCUUUGUAUUUCUUUCAGGAGAUCGGCCUUCUCAAGCCUUAACCGAUCUACUUCCAGUACUUCCCCUUCCAAUUUGUCAUAUUUUUCCUUUAGCUCUACCACUUCGUUUUGUAAACGGAGGUUUUCCUGAGCUAUGGCUAUAGAUUGAAUAUGCAUUUCUUCCAGCUCCUUGGCCUUUUGUCGUUCAAAUUCAAUCGCCAUUUUGAGCCUCCUUAUUUCUGCUUCGCAAUGAUUAAUAAAGUCUUGUUGUGUUUGAAGCAAGUUUCUAGGUUCAUACCUUGGGGGUUCCUCCAUCAUGACGGGGGUUCUUUUGUCAAAGUAAUAUAUGCUACACAUUCCACACGAAGUGAUCUUGCAUAAGGGACAAUGUCUCCUAUGCCUUCUUUGCGACGUUCUCUUGCAGCAUUUGCACUCUUCCAAUCCUGGCGGUAGUUCUGUGUUGAUUUCCCAUAUGUGUCUGCAUUCAGCUUGUUCUUGGGAAACUUGUAUUCUUGCUCUGUAUCCUGUUUUAGGUCCUAUCCACCAAGUUCUACUAUCUUCUAUUAAAGCGAAAAUUUUAUGGGUGAAGGAGUGAAUACCAUGCUGUAGGUCUUCUAUGUCUUCUCCUUCAGAAAUUGAAUAAAUUGCGUCGCUUUGGUUUUCUCCUUCUUGUACAGAUAGUAUUUCGUAUUCAUCUGGAAUAUCCAACUGUUCAAAUAUAGCAACUCUUUUGAUAUUCUUUCGGUCAUUGGGGCACUCUCUUGCAAAAUGCCCUUCUUCUCCACAAAGGUAGCACUUACAUUUCUUAUUUCUUAUCAAGUGCUUUCUCUUCUCAAUCCUUGCGUGGGAUGAGUGAGGUUUACCUUUAUAGGUCGUUGAUCUUCUUACCCCAUAUUUUCUUUCAGGUUUGUUGUAGUAUCCUGGGAUAGGAAUUUCACUGCAAAAGGACAGGUCCUUUAAUGCUCUUCUAAAUGCAGCAUCUUUGCAUUCAGCUUCUAAGUAUUUGUAGGAGAAGAGUAUUCUCGGGAUCACUCCUAUAGUAUUUCCCCUAUACUUUGCUUCAAAUGCCUCUUUGAUUCUCUUUCCUAGCUCCCCUGGCAUUUUGGACCAUAGCUUUUCAGAUAGUUCAGGGCCCAAGAACAUCCUUCCUGUUUUGGAUGCCAACCUCAUAUAAUCAUUUAAGAAUUGAAUAAUAUGUUUGAGGUUAGUACAGGAUAACCUUUCAAGGUCUCUGUAGGCUUCUUCUUGCGCUGUUGUGGAUCCCUGGAANNNNNNNNNNNNNNNNNNNNNNNNNNNNNNNNAAACAUUCCCAAUUGGGAUGAGAUUAUAAAUAUUGCUCCCUGCUGCUGAAAGGCUGAAGGGAGGUUCCAGGCUUCUGAAAAGUUCUUUGCCUUGAACCUUGGUUGUCUUGAAUGCCCUUCAUAUUCUGGCCUUUGGCUUGUGGAUUCUAUAUUCACAGCCGGAGGGUAAUUUACUGGUCCCAUGGUUGAGUCCGCCGGUGGCCUGUAAUUUGACACAGCAGAUGAUGAAUAUACCUGAUGAGAUAAUUUUGCUAACUGGGGGUAUUCCAUUACUAGUUCUUCUUCCAGUCCUGCUGCAAUUAAUUCCCUCUGAGGCUUUCGAGGAUACGGCAUCUCUACUUCUUUCUCUGAGAUAUGGGUAUCUUGAAAAUAGGAAUUCAGGCCUUCGCGUAGCUCCUCUGCUUCAUCUUCACUACUACUUGAUAAUUGAAUAUUGACAGCUAUUGUGUGGCUUCGUAUUUCUUCUUCAUCGCUGAACGUUUCAUCAUCCACAGUGUUAUAGUGGAUUCUGCUGGAUGUCGAUGCUGCUUUAUAAUUAUCAAAACUGAUCGAAAUCCUUCCGUCAAUUAGGUUCCUACUCCUGAGCUCAACAGGUUGUAUGGGGAUUGAGACUUGCGUCGGUCUAAUCAUCCAGUCUCUCCCUCUGAUUUCUGCUGUGGAAUAACUUCUACCUGGUAGAGCCCUUAUGCCAUGGCUUGUUAGGUAAUCCACCACCCCUGAGAUUUCAUAAGCAAAGGCGACAUUCGGGGUAUUUGAAAGCCGCCCUACCAUUCCUCUGGUAAUUAAUAGAUUUGCUUCUCCAUUCUGCCAUGUGUCAUAUCCACGGGUUAGUAUAGAGAGUUGUAUAUUGCGGUAAAAAUCUCCUACCGUCAUCAUAGUAUCUAGUACAACAUAGACCAGUUGACUUCCUCUGGUCAAGUCUACUUCCAUGGUAGCAAUGAUGGACCUAUCAUCGGCCCAUCUGUUGUCCCGGAACACUAAUAGUGCUAGUGUCCCUUCUUCCUGCCUGUGGAGUGUCUGAAUCCUUGUUUGUAGGAUUCCAAGAUGAAUAUAUCUCAUCCCGCUCCUAAUUAGUUGGUCAAAGCUUUGUUCUUGUAUGAAGGCCCUGUCUUCUUGGUUAUUGGUGACCAACAUAGCUUCUUCCGAUCGAUGCGUGUAAACCCUGUGGUGUGCAUCGUCCCUCCUUGAGUGAUACAGUAUUUCAGCUGGUGCUAUUGCAGCUCUUUCCCUCAUGGAUAAUUGUAGCUGUGCCUGAGGGUCUAUUUGUUGCUCCAGAACUUGUAUGUUUGGGUUUGGGUUUCUGGAAAUUAGUUGUCCCAGUCGUCUUCUAGCGUUGAAUAUUCUCCUCUGGUUUCUCCUGUAGUUUCUGAUCUGAUCUUCUAUAAGAGGAGUUGACGUGGAUACCUCUUGGGUUCGCGUUCUGGAAGUCAUCCUUUUGCUUCCUGAAAGAUCUUUAUAGGAUCCUUAAAAACCAGGAUUUUUCCUUUCGUCUCUUUAGGCCUUUCUGAAGGACCCAGGUUGAGAUUUGCCAAUUUGGUAAUAAGUUCGUCUGGUACUACUUGGGAUUGUAUUAUUUUUUAUUGUUGCAAUUCCCGUAUUGUUUGUAGUUCUGUCCGUAUUCCUUUUAUGUCUUCAGCAAUUUGUAUCAGAAGUUGUAUCUGAAUGUUAUGCUGCUUGAUUACGGCUACCUGAUGGCUGAGAGUUCCAGGGAAAUCACUUGUUUUGAGAAAACCAAGUGAUGGAGGUUCAAUGGAUUCAG